rnacentral:rRNA from 1 species
UAAUACGGAGGAUCCAAGCGUUAUCCGGAUUUAUUGGGUUUAAAGGGUGCGUAGGCGGCUUAUUAAGUCAGUGGUGAAAGCCCGAUGCUUAACAUCGGAACUGCCAUUGAUACUGAUGAGCUUGAAUAUGGUUGAGGUUGGCGGAAUGUGUCAUGUAGCGGUGAAAUGCUUAGAUAUGACACAGAACACCGAUUGCGAAGGCAGCCGGCUAAGCCAUUAUUGACGCUGAGGCACUAAAGCGUGGGGAGCAAACAGGAUUAGAUACCCUGGUAGUCCACGCCCUAAACGUUGAUAACUCGAUGUUGGCGAUACACAGUCAGCGUCCAAGCGAAAGCGUUAAGUUAUCCACCUGGGAAGUACGGUCGCAAGAUUG